rnacentral:tRNA from 1 species
GCUUCCAUAGCUCAGUUGGUAGAGCACUUCCAUGGUAAGGAAGAGGUCAUCGGUUCGAGUCCGAUUGGAAGCU